UGGGAAGAUUGAGCCCAUUUUAGAAAAGUUCCCUUGUUUUGAGGAAGGAUGCUUUUUGGUGUAUGAAUUCUUUUGCCAACGCAGUGAUGAUCCAGAGGAAGCGAGGGAAGAAAUUGCCAGAAAUAUGAAAUGGAUAAUGCACACUGUCGUAUCUAAAAAAACUGCACCUGAGGCAUGUAUUAAUGGCUCCAGAAAACUCAAGAUGGUACUGAUGCUGAAAAAAGCAUCCAACUGUUCCGGGAUUUGUAGAAGCUUGUUUCCAAGCAAAGGGCAAGGGUUUGAAGUCAAAGACCUGCAUUACCAUAGUCAAUGAUGUGAAGAGUGUGGAAACAGUUCCUCAAAAACAUCUGCACAGCCAAGUGGAAGAGGCUCCUCAUCUUGUGGUCUUCCU